CGGCCUCCUCGCUUCUUAAAAUGUCUGAGCUCUACGAAGUGGAACCGUUAGCCCUCCGUUUGUUGCCUUACUUCACACUGAAAUAAGCCAACGUUUAUUUUAUUUUAUUUAUUUUAUUAUUUAUUUUAUUAUUUUUUUUCGAGACGGAGUCUCGCUCUGUCCCAGGCUGGAGUGCCGUGGCGGGAUCUCGACUCACUGCAACCUCCGCCUCCGUGUUCAAGCUAUUCUACCUCAGCCUCCCGAGUAGCUGGGAUUACAGGUGCCCGCCACCACGCCCGGCUAAUUUUUGUAUUUUUAGUAGAGAUGGGGUUUCACCAUGUUGGCCAGGCUGAUCUCGAACUGCUGACCUUGUGAUCCUCCCGCCUCAGCCUCCCAAAGUGCUGGGAUUACAGGCGUGAGCCACCGCGCCCGGCCCCCAACGUUCCUUUUUAAGCCUGUCGUAUCUCACAUUAAAUGUGUAAGUCUCUGAACUGUAGGGCUUUGAACAAAGGAAAGUUCCAUGAGAAUACUAUAUGAUGCCAAUUUCUACUGUUAGGAACGCGAUAACAGAGUGCAGUGGGGGAGAAAAUACGGUCCUCAAGAUCUGAGAAACUGGAGAGGAAAAGUCACAGGACAACCAACUUCUCUAUGACAUAGCCCAGCAUCUGAGGAAAGUCCUGCAAUAGUGGAGGUGGAGCAGAGGGUAUGAGCUGGGAAGCAAAUGGAGCAGGAGCUGGAGGCUGCCCCAUCACUCCAAGCCAGAGAACAAGCAGAGGCUGCCACAGGAGAUCCUGGGCAAGUAAUCAGCCACAGCAUCUAGAUUAGCAUGAAGGAAACACUAGCCAAAUUAAAAGAUGAAACUUCCAAAAGGUAAAUCUCUGUGUAUUCAUGCCUAAUCUUCCAAGGU
rnacentral:sRNA from 1 species